UACAGAGGGGGCGAGCGUUGUUCGGAAUUACUGGGCGUAAAGGGCGCGUAGGCGGCCCGCUAAGUCGAACGUGAAAUCCCUGGGCUCAACCCAGGAACUGCGUCCAAGACUGGGAGGCUUGAAUCCGGGAGAGGGAUGCGGAAUUCCAGGUGUAGCGGUGAAAUGCGCAGAUAUCGGGAAGAACACCCGUGGCGAAGGCGGCUCUCUGGGACGGUACUGACGCUGAGACGCGAAAGCGUGGGGAGCGAACAGG
rnacentral:rRNA from 1 species